rnacentral:rRNA from 1 species
CCUACGGGCGGCUGCAGUGAGGAAUAUUGGGCAAUGGCCGAGAGGCUGAACCAGCCAAGUCGCGUGGGGGAUGACGGCCCUACGGGUUGUAAACCUCUUUUGUCGGGGAGCAAAGAGAGUCACGUGUGGCUCAUUGAGAGUACCCGAAGACAAAGCAUCGGCUAACUCCGUGCCAGCAUCCGCGGUGAUACGGAGGAUGCGAGCGUUAUACGGAUUUAUUGGGGGAAAAGGGUGCGCAGGCGGAGGUGCAAGUCAGUGGUCAAAUUGCGGGGCUCAACCCCGUACUGCCGUUGAAACUGCAUCCCUUGAGUGCGCGAGAAGUAUGCGGAAUGCGUGGUGUAGCGGUGAAAUGCAUAGAUAUCACGCAGAACUCCGAUUGCGAAGGCAGCAUACCGGCGCGCAACUGACGCUCAUGCACGAAAGCGUGGGUAUCGAACAGGAUUAGAUACCCCAGUAGUC